AAAUUGAAGAGUUUGAUCAUGGCUCAGAUUGAACGCUGGCGGCAGGCCUAACACAUGCAAGUCGAACGGUAACAGGAAGCAGCUUGCUGAUUCGCUGACGAGUGGCGGACGGGUGAGUAAUGUCUGGGAAACUGCCUGAUGGAGGGGGAUAACUACUGGAAACGGUAGCUAAUACCGCAUAAUGUCGCAAGACCAAAGAGGGGGACCUUCGGGCCUCUUGCCAUCGGAUGUGCCCAGAUGGGAUUAGCUAGUAGGUGGGGUAACGGCUCACCUAGGCGACGAUCCCUAGCUGGUCUGAGAGGAUGACCAGCCACACUGGAACUGAGACACGGUCCAGACU
rnacentral:rRNA from 1 species